rnacentral:rRNA from 1 species
UACGAAGGGGGCUAGCGUUGCUCGGAAUCACUGGGCGUAAAGCGCACGUAGGCGGGUCGUUUAAGUCGGGGGUGAAAUCCUGGAGCUCAACUCCAGAACUGCCUUCGAUACUGGCGAUCUUGGAGUCCGGGAGAGGUGGGUGGAACUGCGAGUGUAGAGGUGAAAUUCGUAGAUAUUCGCAAGAACACCAGUGGCGAAGGCGGCUCACUGGCCCGGUACUGACGCUGAGGUGCGAAAGGCGUGGGGAGCAAACAGG